rnacentral:rRNA from 1 species
GAUGAACGCUGGCGGCGUGCCUAAUACAUGCAAGUCGAGCGAACAGACGAGGAGCUUGCUCCUCUGACGUUAGCGGCGGACGUGUGAGUAACACGUGGAACACCUACCUAUCAGACUGGGAUAUCUUCGGGAAACCGGAGCUAAUACCGUAUAAUAUAUUGAACCGCAUGGGUCAAUGGUGAAAUACGGCGUUGCUGUCAGGUAUAGAGGGAUCUGGGCCGCAUUAGCUGGUUGGUAAGGAAACGGCCUACCAAGGCAACGAUGCGUAGCCGAACUGAGAGGCUGAUCGGCCGCCUGAGAACUGAGACGCGGUCCAGAGUCCUACGGGAGGCAGCAGUAGGGAAUCGUCCGCAAUAGGCGAAAGCCUGACGGAACAACGCCGCGUGAGUGAUGACGGUCUUCGGAUCGUAAAACUCUGUUAUUAGGGAAGAACCAAUGUGUAAGUAAAUAUGCACGUCGUGACGGUACCUAGUCAGAAAGCCACGGCUAACUACGUG